rnacentral:snoRNA from 1 species
CCUCCUUCUUGGCGUACUCGUGGUUGUUUUUGUACCUUUGUAUGUAUGUAGGGAGGGAUAAUAGAGCCAGUGCAAUGUCUUCGGUGCCAGCAUGUUCCCAUCGGCUGGUUCUAUCCUCAAUCACUGGAACACGU